UACAGGGGGGGCAAGCGUUGUUCGGAAUUACUGGGCGGAAAGGGCUCGUAGGUGGCCAACUAAGUCAGACGUGAAAUCCCUCAGCUUAACUGGGGAACUGCGUCUGAUACUGGAUGGCUUGAGUUUGGGAGAGGGAUGCGGAAUUCCAGGUGUAGCGGUGAAAUGCGUAGAUAUCUGGAGGAACACCGGUGGCGAAGGCGGCAUCCUGGACCAAUACUGACACUGAGGAGCGAAAGCCAGGGGAGCAAACGGG
rnacentral:rRNA from 1 species